ACUGGCCUAAGUAGUGUAUACACAUGCUUAACACACACACACACCACACACACACCACACUCACACCACACAUACCCAUGCACACACACCACACAUAUCCACACACACACCACACACACACCACACAUACCCACACACACCACACACACACACCACACUCACACCACACAUACCCACACACACCCACCACACAUACCCACAAACACCACACACACACACCACACACACACCACACAUGCCCACACACACAUCACACACACCACACAUACCCUCACAACCACACACACACCACACACACGACAAACACCACCCUCACACACCACACACACCACAAAUACAUACACACCUCACGCCCCCACACCAUACACACACCACAUACCCACACACGACACGCACACACCACACAUACCCACACACACCACAGACGCACACACCAUACACACCACACACACGCCACACACACACACACUCACUCUGAUCC
rnacentral:lncRNA from 1 species